rnacentral:rRNA from 1 species
GACGAACGCUGGCGGCGUGCUUAACACAUGCAAGUCGAGCGGUAAGGCCCUUUCGGGGGUACACGAGCGGCGAACGGGUGAGUAACACGUGGGUGACCUGCCCUCAGCUCUGGGAUAAGCCUGGGAAACCGGGUCUAAUACUGGAUAUGACUCCAUGACGCAUGUUGUGGGGUGGAAAGCCUUGUGCGGCUGAGGAUGGGCCCGCGGCCUAUCAGCUUGUUGGUGGGGUGAUGCCUACCAAGGCGACGACGGGUAGCCGGCCUGAGAGGGCGACCGGCCACACUGGGACUGAGACACGGCCCAGACUCCUACGGGAGGCAGCAGUGGGGAAUCUUGCGCAAUGGGCGAAAGCCUGACGCAGCGACGCCGCGUGAGGGAUGACGG